rnacentral:rRNA from 1 species
UACGGGGGGGGCAAGCGUUGUUCGGAAUUACUGGGCGUAAAGGGCUCGUAGGCGGCCAACUAAGUCGGAUGUGAAAUCCCCAGGCUUAACCUGGGAACUGCAUCCGAUACUGGAUGGCUUGAAUCCGGGAGAGGGAUGCGGAAUUCCAGGUGUAGCGGUGAAAUGCGUAGAUAUCUGGAGGAACACCGGUGGCGAAGGCGGCAUCCUGGACGGUAACUGACGCUGAGACGCGAAAGCGUGGGGGGCAAACAGG